rnacentral:rRNA from 1 species
UACAGAGGUCUCAAGCGUUGUUCGGAUUCAUUGGGCGUAAAGGGUGCGUAGGCGGCGCGGUAAGUCGGGUGUGAAAUCUUGGAGCUUAACUCCGAAACUGCAUUCGAUACUGCCGUGCUUGAGGACUGGAGAGGAGACUGGAAUUUACGGUGUAGCGGUGAAAUGCGUAGAUAUCGUAAGGAAGACCAGUGGCGAAGGCGGGUCUCGUGGACAGUUCCUGACGCUGAGGCACGAAGGCCCAGGGGGAGCAAAACGGG